GGCGUAGUGGUUAGUGGUUAAGAUGCUGGGCUAGCAAGCCAGAAAAGUUGUGGGUUCAAUUCCCAGCUUCCAUCG
rnacentral:tRNA from 1 species